rnacentral:rRNA from 1 species
CCUACGGGCGGCAGCAGUGAGGAAUAUUGGUCAAUGGCCGUAAGGCUGAACCAGCCAAGUCGCGUGAAGGAAGAAGGUGCUAUGGUUUGUAAACUUCUUUUAUAGGUGAAUAAAGUUAUCCACGUGUGGCUAUUCGCAUGUACCUUAUGAAUAAGCAUCGGCUAACUCCGUGCCAGCAGCCGCGGCAAUACGGAGGAUGCGAGCGUUAUCCGGAUUUAUUGGGUUUAAAGGGUGCGUAGGCUGUUUUUUAAGUCAGCGGUGAAAGUUUGUGGCUCAACCAUAGAAUUGCCGUUGAAACUGGAAGACUUGAGUGUGUUUGAGGUAGGCGGAAUGCGUGGUGUAGCGGUGAAAUGCAUAGAUAUCGCGCAGAACUCCGAUUGCGAAGGCAGCUUACU